GGGCCCGCACAAGCGGUGGAGCAUGUGGUUUAAUUCGAUGAUACGCGAGGAACCUUACCAGGGCUUAAAUGCAGAAUGACAGGACUGGAAACAGUUUUUCUUCGGACAAUUUGCAAGGUGCUGCAUGGUUGUCGUCAGCUCGUGCUGUGAAGUGUCGGGUUAAGUCCCAUAACGAGCGCAACCCCUAUCUUUAGUUGCCAGCGGGUAAUGCCGGGGACUCUAGAGAAACUGCCAGCGCAAGCUGAGAGGAAGUGGGGAUGACGUCAAAUCAUCACGGCCCUUACGUCCUGGGCUACACACGUGCUACAAUGGUAGAUACAGAGGGCAGCUACCUGGUGACAGGAUGCAAAUCUCGAAAGUCUAUCUC
rnacentral:rRNA from 1 species